rnacentral:rRNA from 1 species
AUGCAGUCGACGGCGCAGGUACUUGGCAUUGCUAAGUACCUACGUAGUGGCGGACGGGUGAGUAACGCGUGAGAAUGUGCCUUGAGGAUGGGGAUAACAAUAGGAAACUAAUGCUAAGACCCAAUAUGCCCUACGGGGUGAAAAAUGAAAAUUGCCUGAAGAGGAGCUCGCGUCUGAUUAGCUAGUUGGGGUGGUAAAAGCGCACCAAGGCGACGAUCAGUAGCUGGUCUGAGAGGAUGAGCAGCCACACUGGGACUGAGACACGGCCCAGACUCCUACGGGAGGCAGCAGUGGGGAAUUUUCCGCAAUGGGCGAAAGCCUGACGGAGCAAUACCGCGUGAGGGAGGAAGGCUCUUGGGUUGUAAACCUCAAAACUUAGGGAAGAAAAAAAUGACGGUACCUAAUUUAAGCAUCGGCUAACUCCGUGCCAGCAGCCGCGGUAAUACG